AUACAGAGGGUGCGAACGUUGCUCGGAAUUACUGGGCGUAAAGCGCAUGUAGGCGGGUCGGCAAGUCAGAUGUGAAAUCCCCGGGCUCAACCCGGGAACUGCAUCUGAAACUGCUGGUCUUGAGUACUGGAGAGGGUGGCGGAAUUCCUGGUGUAGAGGUGAAAUUCGUAGAUAUCAGGAGGAACACCGGUGGCGAAGGCGGCCACCUGGACAGUAACUGACGCUGAGAUGCGAAAGCGUGGGGAGC
rnacentral:rRNA from 1 species